GGAGUUGUAGCUCAGCUGGUUAGAGUGCCUGCCUGUCACGCAGGAUGUCGCGGGUUCGAGUCCCGUCAACUCCGCCA
rnacentral:tRNA from 3 species